rnacentral:piRNA from 1 species
UACCUCGUCUUCCCAAAAUGCUUUGGGGUA